GCUGCACUUCCAGAGAUCUCUUUGGUGAACCAGGUUUGCUUUGCCAACCAAGAAAGAUGUGCUCCCGUCAGGACAAAGACCAAUGCUACAAGCAGGAGAAAGAGGAAGGGUCCUGCUGUGGUGGCCGGAGGUCUUCCACCAGUGAGGACCGAGGUUCCUGCUGUCUGGGACGGAGGAACAGCGGAGGGUGUCAUGGCAAUCGGGGUUCAUCCGGCUGUCACGGGAAGCAACAAGAGCAGCAACAGCAACAGCAGCAGGUCUUCCAAGUGCCAUCUCAGAAGCUGAAGUGACACUAAGGAGAAUUCUUAGAAGGGCCUAAUUCUGCAGGGAUUUUGUGGAGUAAUUUUAACACCAGUUGUUGAUCAUUUGAUACAUUUUCAAUAUGUUCUGUCACCUUUAUCUCUGUGCCCAAUUCGACCACCCCAAUUCUCAGCUACCUCUUCUCCUCUUCAAAGGGGAACAUCUCCUGUGACAUAUGGAGCAUGAGAAGAGCAAGGAGAGGCAUCCAGCUAUUUCUAUUUGCUGUUCAUUUGCGCACAUGAGGGAAUAAAUAAUAAACCUUUAUUAAUAAUGAA